UGGGGAAUAUUGCACAAUGGGCGCAAGCCUGAUGCAGCAACGCCGCGUGAACGAUGAAGGUCUUCGGAUCGUAAAGUUCUGUUGCAGGGGAAGAUAAUGACGGUACCCUGUGAGGAAGCCCCGGCUAACUACGUGCCAGCAGCCGCGGUAAUACGUAGGGGGCUAGCGUUAUCCGGAUUUACUGGGCGUAAGGGUGCGUAGGUGGUACUUCAAGUCGGUGGUUAAAGGCUACGGCUCAACCGUAGUAAGCCGCCGAAACUGGAGGACUUGAGUGCAGGAGAGGAAAGUGGAAUUCCCAGUGUAGCGGUGAAAUGCGUAGAUAUUGGGAGGAACACCAGUAGCGAAGGCGGCUUUCUGGACUGCAACUGACACUGAGGCACGAAAGCGUGGGUAGCAAACAGG
rnacentral:rRNA from 1 species